AUUGAACGCUGGCGGCAGGCCUAACACAUGCAAGUCGAGCGGAAGAAGGGUGCUUUCGCGUGGAUUCAGCGGGGGACGGGUGUGUAAUGCCUAGGAAUCUGCCUGGUAGUAGGGGCUAACAUCCGGAAACGAGCGCUAAUACCACCUGAGUGCUGAGGCAGAAGGUGGGGGAUCUUCGGACCUCACGCUCUCAGAUGAGCCUAGGUGGGAUUAGCUAGUUGGUGGGGUAAAGGCCUACCAAGGCGACGAUCGGUAGCUGGUCUGAGAGGAUGAUCAGUCACACUGGAACUGAGACACGGUCCAGACUCCUACGGGAGGCAGCAGUGGGGAAUAUUGGACAAUGGGCGAAAGCCUGAUCCAGCCAUGCCGCGUGUGUGAAGAAGGUCUUCGGAUUGUAAAGCACUUUUAGUUGGGAGGAAGGGCAGUAGGUUAAUACCUUGCUGUUUUGACGGUACCAGCAGAAUAAGCACCGGCUAACUACGUG
rnacentral:rRNA from 1 species